rnacentral:rRNA from 1 species
GACGAACGCUGGCGGCGUGCUUAACACAUGCAAGUCGAACGGAAAGGCCCUGCUUGCAGGGUACUCGAGUGGCGAACGGGUGAGUAACACGUUGGUGAUCUGCCCUGCACUUCGGGAUAAUCCUGGGAAACUGGGUCUAAUACCGGAUAGGAGCCAUUUUUAGUGUGAUGGUUGGAAAGUUUUUUCGGUGUAGGAUGAGCUCGCGGCCUAUCAGCUUGUUGGUGGGGUAAUGGCCUACCAAGGCGGCGACGGGUAGCCGGCCUGAGAGGGUGGACGGCCACAUUGGGACUGGGAUACGGCCCAGACUCCGACGGGAGGCAGCAGUGGGGAAGAUUGAACAAUGGGCGCAAGCCUGAUGCAGCGACGCCGCGUGGGGGAUGACGGCCUUCGGGUUGUAAACUCCAUUCGCUAGGGACGAAGCUUUUUGUGACGGUACCUAGAUAAGAAGCACCGGCUAACUACGUG